CCCUAGCCCUGAUGGUAGCGGCAUCCUUUUUUCUUUUUGCAAAAAAGGAAAAAGAUACAGCGGACAGCAGGUUCCCGG
rnacentral:sRNA from 1 species